UUUCCAUAUGUUUUUUAUUGGGAGCAGGUGGAGCUGGAAAACGAAGAUAAGUACUCUGCUGCUGUUCUCUGCAAACCGUUUCCCGUAUUUCACUGUGAUAUUUUAGGCUUGAUUACCUCCCACGGUUGAUACGAUCCUCUGUAAACUCAGCUGGCAUCUUUUGGCUCCAUCGUAAAGUGGCUCAAAAUACACGCUUCUGUGUGAGGGAGUUCAGCUAAAAUAAGCACCGAAAGGCUAUUAAUUACAGCCAAGUUGGGAAAUAAGAUGGGAUGUCAGCGCUUAGAGUCGAUGUUAAUGGGACUGCAGUAAAUA
rnacentral:lncRNA from 1 species